AUGUUGGCGUUCUUGGACCUUCUUAGACAUGCAAGAUCCCCUACAGCCCCCGUGUAUUUUGUCUCAGCACUGUUUGGGAAGGCUGGUCUCCAUGAUUUUGGGCACACAAGCCCAGACCAGACCUGGACAUUCCCGUGGAAACUGCCRGCCCCUGGCAGGAUUUGUGCCGUAAUCGCCUCAGAAACCCAUGCUUCUGCAGUUCCCGCUUUGACACCAACGCUAUCUAAAGCAUCUUUUCUCACCUUUUCUGCGGGAGUGUGUGCGUGUGAGACACAGGAUGUUAAGAACAUUUAUAAACCAGUUUGUGAACGGGCCCUGAUAGUCCGGGUUUGCUCUGUCCCUGCAAUUAUGACCGGGUGRACCGAGACGCUAUUUCAGCGUCUCUGUGUUCCCCCGCACCAUGAGAACGCAGUCGUGCACACUUCACUGAUGUCCCACACUGCUCAGAUGGCCCGCACUGCUAUCUCUGGUGUCCCACACCGCUAUCUCAGGUGUCCCACACUGCUAUCUCUGGUGUCCCACACCGCUAUCUCUGGUGUCCCACACCACUACCUCAGGUGUCCCACGCUGCUGUCUCUGGUGUCCCACACCGCUAUCUCAGGUGUCCCACACCACUAUCUCAGAUGUCCCACACUGCUAUCUAUCAUCUCAGGUGUUCCAUACUGCUAUCUCUGGUGUCGCACACUGCUGUCUCUGGUGUCCCACACUGCUAUCUCAGGUGUCCCACACCGCUAUCUCAGGUGUCCCACACCGCUAUCUAUCUCAGGUGUCGCACACUGCUGUCUCUGGUGUCCCACACUGCUAUCUCAGGUGUCCCACACCGCUAUCUAUCUCAGGUGUCCCACACUGCUGUCCCUGGUGUCCCACACCACUAUCUCAGAUGUCCCACACUGCUGUCUCAGAUGUCCCACACUGCUAUCUCAGGUGUCCCACACUGUUAUCUCUGGUGUCCCACACUGCUAUCUAUCUCAGGUGUUCCACACUGCUAUCUCAGGCUCCUAUUGCUAG
rnacentral:lncRNA from 1 species